UGUGUGAGGGUGUGUGGGAAGAUGUUUUGAUCAGUUUUCUACUGAAAAAAUAAAAUAUUCUUGAAUCAAGUCUUGUGAAAGUUGCGAAUAUUUAUUUAAUCCGCCCUGAGUUUUUCGGGAUCAAUAAUGUUCUUCAAGGAUAGUAUAGAUAAAACGAGGUGCGUUUGACUCAAACAAUGAAAAAGAAGACUUGCAUCACAAGACGCCUACACUCAUCACAAUUUACAGCAAGAAAUGUUUUGCAUCGACUUGGCACCGACAGAGGAGAACUUGCACAAUAGCGUAGCAAGGAUAAUUUGCAUGAUGUAUGUUUAUAUAAGCUUCUUAGUUCAAAGAAGGCUUGUAUAUUUCUAGUUGGUUAUUAUUCCCUUUUUGAUCUUAUGUCAAUUAUAGUCCCGCUCUGACUAA